AUUGAACGCUGGCGGCAUGCCUUACACAUGCAAGUCGAACGGCAGCACGGGUGCUUGCACCUGGUGGCGAGUGGCGAACGGGUGAGUAAUACAUCGGAACAUGUCCUGUAGUGGGGGAUAGCCCGGCGAAAGCCGGAUUAAUACCGCAUACGAUCUACGGAUGAAAGCGGGGGACCUUCGGGCCUCGCGCUAUAGGGUUGGCCGAUAGCUGAUUAGCUAGUUGGUGGGGUAAAGGCCUACCAAGGCGACGAUCAGUAGCUGGUCUGAGAGGACGACCAGCCACACUGGGACUGAGACACGGCCCAGACUCCUACGGGAGGCAGCAGUGGGGAAUUUUGGACAAUGGGCGAAAGCCUGAUCCAGCAAUGCAGCGUGUGUGAAGAAGGCCUUCGGGUUGUAAAGCACCUUUGUCCGGAAAGAAAUCCUUGGCUCUAAUACAGUCGGGGGAUGACGGUACCGGAAGAAUAAGCACCGGCUAACUACGUG
rnacentral:rRNA from 1 species